rnacentral:rRNA from 1 species
UACGUAGGGGGCAAGCGUUGUCCGGAUUUAUUGGGCGUAAAGCGCGUGUAGGCGGCCAGGUAGGUCUGCUGUGAAAACUCGAGGCUCAACCUCGAGAUGUCAUCGGAAACCAUCUGGCUAGAGUCCGGAAGAGGAGAGUGGAAUUCCUGGUGUAGCGGUGAAAUGCGCAGAUAUCAGGAAGAACACCAAUGGCGAAAGCAGCUCUCUGGGACGGUACUGACGCUGAGACGCGAAAGCGUGGGGAGCGAACAGG